ensembl:lncRNA
CAGUGUUUCAGAUAUAUUGCUUUUCUUGAAAUUGGCUCAAUGUUCGCCGUAAACGUAAUCCAUUUCUGUUGACUGUAUGUGUAAAUAUCAACACAGAGAAAAUCUGCUGAAGCUUGUAUUUCCAACUCUGUUGCCCAAGAUCCAACAUACUUCAUUUUUGAGUCCAUGAGAUAUUGCUCCACAGAAACAAAUUGCCGUCUUAGACAAGUAAUGUAAUGAAGUGGAUUAUUUGAGAUGUGAUUCACUACAGCCUUUCGAAAGGCCUUGUGAUGUGACUCGCAACCACUCAAUACAGACGAAAGAGAACGAAAGAAACAAUUACCGUCACCUUCAAUGGAUGUUGUUUGGCAUGGUUCAGGCUGUGCCACAUCGAAGGUUUGUACAACAAUAUUUUGAUCUAAACUUGGUACGAUAUUCAGUUUGUUGCAGAUCCUGUUUUUUUCCCUUAAUGUCAAUCCAGUAAAUAUUAUAUUGGGGCUAUCUGUUACAGAAAUUAAACAGACAUCUGAUGCACCCUCUGUGUGAAUUGGAGGAUCACUGUCAAUGUUUACAGUUGUGUCACAUGUAGAAGUGUUUGCUACAGGCUGCACAGUUUCAAGGGAAAAAGACGCGUUUACUGUAAGGGAAUUUCUAUCUGUUACCGAAAGGACACAGAGAUCAGAGUCACUGUCAGUGUCCAAAGUACCGUCAUGUGCCGAAGUGCUGGCUUCAGGCUGUGCAGUUAAAGCAGUAAAUGAAGCUGGUCUCAUUGGCUGUUGGUUUAUCAGCCUGGGCCAUCACAACUUUUGGCCCCCAAGGUGUUGGCUCCUCUUGUUUUCUCUGUCCAGAGACAACCCGAGCAGUUGGCUGGUUCACCUUCUACAAUGAGGUAAGGGAGCAAAAUUAUCAUGAGAGAUACAAUUGUAUGAAAAUUGAAAAGUGGGCAGUUCAAAGAACUUACUGCUAAUGUAGUUUAUUUAAAACAGUAACAAACAUAGUGUUGUGCACGCCUGUAUUUUGUGGCGCUACAUACAAAUUUAACAACAAAACCCAAAUAUUAAAUUAUUACAAGAUGCUCUCUUUUUCCCCCAUCCAUUCCCUUACCUCACAAAACUCUGUUUGAAGAAACGGCCACUCAUCAACACACAGAGUCUUGUCAUCCCCCUCCGGUUGAGCAAACUGCAAAGACAUAGUAAGAAUUAUAUGUACAUUACAAUUGAGAAAUGGAAACCCAAAAUUACACUUUCUUAAAGGGAACUUAGAGAAAAUAUCAAAAGAAUAGAGAACCGCACUCUAUUCACUGAAUGUGUUUAAUCAUUACAUGUUGUAUGCAAAUUACCUUGCUCGAAUGCACAAAGACGCUGCCCUCCAGAGUGGCUGGUACAGCAGCUUCUGGCACAGGUCGAGGGGGAGGUACCAGCUUCGAAGGUUUGGCAAUCCUUGCUGGAGUUUGAAGUGCCUGGAAAAUAAUUGUAAAUCAUUGGCAAAACAAUACCUACACAGAGAAUGUUGGACUAUCUCUUGUGUUAAAGGCGAAAUCAGAAAAUAGUUGUUCCUGUGUUUCAACCAAAAAACAAGUACAUAUUUCACUGAGAAAUUACCAACCUCAAGGCGGGCCUUCUUUCCUUUGGAGACCACAGCCGUGGUUCCAUGUGCCACCUUCCGUUUCUAUCAUAAUGGAAGAGAACGGAAAUGAUAACAGUUAAUGAAAUAUAACACUUAUUAUCAAUGCAACUAUCUGUACCAUACAAUGUAAAGCUUGUCAUAUAGGAUUACAGGCGCUAUUAAUAUGUAUGCACUCACAAACAGUUAAUAUUAAAAUCACACAAAUUACCUUUGAGCGAUUCCCCAUGGUAGCAUACAUGGGGACGUCAAGGUUGGAUGGAACAAUGCGAUCCAUUGCAGCCAACUUGUCAGUGCUAAACCGGAUAGGGUUUAGCACGACAAAGCACUCCCUCAGGACCAGAGGAGGCACACAAACCUAGAAAUAAAAAACAGAAUUGAGCCAUGGACCAUUUCCCUUGUCUUAUAGGAAUAGCAUUUAAAUGAAACAACAAAUGUACGCAUCAUUACGGUUUAAUUUCCUAUCAGCUAUCAUACCAAUGUACAAACCUCAUGAGGAAGGAUCCGCACGGAAGACUGAUCCCAGUCCUCAGGCGCAUCCCAGGACUCAGGUUGGCUGCGCUAUAAACACAUAGGGGGAAUUAGUAUUCAAUAAAUGUGGCCUAACUAAAACUAAAGCUCUUCAAAAUUGUAUAACUUUUACCUUUCCGCGACGUCCGACGACAGUUUCCUUGAAGGGGUCAAGGGGACGUGGACGUGAAACCUCUCCCUUCACAACCACGGUUGUAGCAAAGGGUCUCACAGUCGGGGGUGACUUGGGAGGAGACACAGGCGGAGGUGUAACAGGCAGAGGUGACUGUAGCUGCCGAAAGGAGAAGUGCCACAGAAGCUUCGCGAGAAGCGGCAUCCCCAGAUCGUCACUCAGGUGGAUCUAUUAUAAUGAGAAGCACGGGUUAUUAUUGAAAUAAACUGCUUUUGCCAUAUAAAAAUG